UACGUAGGCAGCAAGCGUUGUUCGGAAUUACUGGGCGUAAAGAGUGUGUAGGCGGUGCUCCAAGUCUGGUGUGAAAUCUCCCGGCUUAACUGGGAGGGUGCAUUAGAAACUGGAAUGCUUGAGCGUGGGAGAGGAAAGCGGAAUUCCUGGUGUAGCGGUGAAAUGCGUAGAUAUUGGGAAGAACACCAGUGGCGAAGGCGGCUCACUGGCCCGUAACUGACGCUGAGGUGCGAAAGCGUGGGGAGCAAACAGG
rnacentral:rRNA from 1 species